rnacentral:rRNA from 1 species
ACGGGUGCGUAACACGUGAGCAACCUGCCCCGAAGACUGGGAUAACACCGGGAAACCGGUGCUAAUACCGGAUGCCUUCACCACGUCGCAUGGCGAGGUGAAGAAAUGGAUUCCGCUUCGGGAUGGGCUCGCGGCCUAUCGGCUUGUUGGUGGGGUAAUGGCCUAUCAAGGCAACGACGGGUAGCUGGUCUGAGAGGAUGUCCAGCCACACUGGGACUGAGACACGGCCCAGACUCCUACGGGAGGCAGCAGUUAGGAAUCUUGCGCAAUGGGCGAAAGCCUGACGCAGCGAUGCCGCGUGCGGGAUGAAGGCCUUCGAGUCGUAAACCGCUUUCAGCAGGGACGAUAGUGACGGUACCUGCAGAAGAAGCCCCGGCCAACUACGUGCCAGCAGCCGCGGUAAUACGUAGGGGGCAAGCGUUGUCCGGAUUUAUUGGGCGUAAAGAGCUCGUAGGCGGUUUGGUAAGUCGGGUGUGAAAUCUCCACGCUCAACGUGGAGGGGCCACUCGAUACUGCCAUGACUCGAGUCCGGUAGAGGAGUGUGGAAUUCCCGGUGUAGCGGUGAAAUGCGCAGA